rnacentral:lncRNA from 13 species
AUAAGAGCACGCACUAAUUCAGCGUAUUAAUUCAUCUCAGUUCCAUUAUGAAUUACUAGAUGGCGACAAUAGACCAUCCAUUUGCACUGGUCUCACUCGCAUAUUGGUAUCGUCACCACACAGGUAGGCUACGUAGAGUUGGGCCACUACACUACAGGUUUGUCUGCGAGUAUUUGUCCUGUGUCUAUGAUUCGGCGUCAUAUUGUCUGUACUUUUCUCAAAAGUCACUGUACAGUUACAGUUCGAUAGUACUUUCUUCCACAUGGGCCGAAAUGUCAUAUCUCUACACACAAAUAACAUGACAUCGUAUAAAGAUUUCAAUCCAUACUAUGGUUAGUAAACAGAUUUUCAAUUAGUCAAUCACCUUCCAUUCCCAUAGAAAUUUACGCGACGCCUUCGCAGCCAGGCACGUGUUCGCAGCGCACGGUGUCUGAUGGAACAAUACAGUUUAUGUCUAGGGUGUGGCUGGGAGAAAGACACGCCCGUUAAAGUUAGUUCCAUGCAGAGAAAAAGAAGGUGUAAGAAGAUUGCUGCAGCAGAGGAGGCAACAUGAAACUAUAAUCACAUCACACACAUAGCCAUGAAACUAUAAUCAGAUCACACACAUACCCAGUCUACAAUACCAGAAACAUAAUCAUUACUACUUGUAUUAUUUUCACUAUUCAACAGAGAAGUCUAAAACUCCAGCUUUGUAAUUCAGCACACUGUGUUCCCAUGAUGUCAUACCUGUGGAUUCUCCUGCUGGGCAGUUUGGUGAUUGGAGCCAAGACACAGGAAGACCCUGCUACUGAACCAGAAGCGAAGGAACCAGAGGCAGAAGCAGCAGAACCCGAGGCCCCUGCAGAAGAAGUAGCUGCCGAGGAGGCCCUGGUAGCUGAGGAGGCCCCUGCAGAAGAAGUAGCUGCCGAGGAGGCCCUGGUACCUGAGGAGGCUCCGGCAGAAGAAGAAGCUCCGGCAGAAGAGGAAGAGGAAAAGGCUCCGACAGUUGAGGAUGCUCUGGCAGAAGAAGACGCUCUUGCAGAAGAGGCUCCAGCCACAGAGGAAGAGGAGGCUCCGGCCACAGAGGAAGAGGACGCAGAAGUAGUAGACGAACCAGCAGUAAAAUCAGAGGCAGCCCCUGAAGCUGAGGCUGAACCAGAUGAACUAGAUCUGUCUGAAGCUGUUGAACCAGGUAAAAAUGGUUUAUUUACUUUGGUAAAUCGGACUGUCAGUAACAAACAUUUCCGCUUUCCCCCCUACAUUUACAAGACUGCAGUUUUCUGGUGAACCAGUAAUGUUAGUUUACUAUAGAAGUAGAGACACAGUUCGACUGUGUUUGAGAAGCUCUGAUGUCAGACUUUAGUGAGCUGGUUUUUAUUUAUUUCAAGUCUACCUCACCUGCCACUGCUGCUCUUACAGCUAGGCCUACAACCCUGGAGUCACAGAUACCACAUGUCUAUACAGUGUGCAAUGCUACUUUAGUCCUGUAGUCCUUUAUUCACCUCUCCUCCCUCUUCCCUGACAACACCUGUCUCACCUCUCCUCCCUCUUCCCUGACAACACCUGUCUCACCUCUCCUCCCUCUUCCCUGACAACACCUGUCUCACCUCCCUUCCCUCUUCCCUGACAACACCUGUCUCACCUCUUCUCCCUCUUCCCUGACAACAUCUGUCUCACCUCUCCUCCCUCUUCCCUGACAACACCUGUCUCACCUCCCCUCCCUCUU